rnacentral:rRNA from 1 species
UAAUACGUAGGGGGCUAGCGUUGUCCGGAUUUAUUGGGCGUAAAGAGCGCGUAGGCGGCCGAGUAAGUCCGACGUGAAAUCUGGAGGCUCAACCUCCAGCGGUCGUUGGAAACUACUCGGCUAGAGUCCGGAAGAGGAGAGUGGAAUUCCUGGUGUAGCGGUGAAAUGCGCAGAUAUCAGGAAGAACACCGAUGGCGAAAGCAGCUCUCUGGGACGGUACUGACGCUGAGGCGCGAAAGCG